rnacentral:rRNA from 1 species
AACGAACGCUGGCGGCAUGCCUAACACAUGCAAGUCGGACGAAACCUUCGGGUCUAGUGGCGCACGGGUGCGUAACGCGUGGGAACCUGCCCUUAGGUUCGGAAUAACUCAGAGAAAUUUGAGCUAAUACCGGAUGAUGUCUUCGGACCAAAGAUUUAUCGCCCUUAGAUGGGCCCGCGUUGGAUUAGCUAGUUGGUGGGGUAAAGGCCUACCAAGGCGACGAUCCAUAGCUGGUCUGAGAGGAUGAUCAGCCACGCUGGGACUGAGACACGGCCCAGACUCCUACGGGAGGCAGCAGUGGGGAAUCUUGGACACCGGGCGAAAGCCUGAUCCAGCAAUGCCGCGUGAGUGAUGAAGGCCUUCGGGUUGUAAAGCUCUUUUACCCGAGAUGAUAAUGCCAGUAUCGGGAGAAUAAGCUCCGGCUAACUCCGUG